rnacentral:rRNA from 1 species
AUACAUGCAGUCGAACGCACAGCGAAAGGUGCUUGCACCUUUCAAGUGAGUGGCGAACGGGUGAGUAACACGUGGAUAACCUACCUCAAGGUUGGGGAUAACAUUUGGAAACAGAUGCUAAUACCGAAUAAAACUUAGUAUCGCAUGAUACCAGGUUAAAAGGCGCUAUGGCGUCACCUAGAGAUGGAUCCGCGGUGCAUUAGUUAGUUGGUGGGGUAAAGGCUUACCAAGACAAUGAUGCAUAGCCGAGUUGAGAGACUGAUCGGCCACAUUGGGACUGAGACACGGCCCAAACUCCUACGGGAGGCUGCAGUAGGGAAUCUUCCACAAUGGGCGAAAGCCUGAUGGAGCAACGCCGCGUGUGUGAUGAAGGCUUUCGGGUCGUAAAGCACUGUUGUAUGGGAAGAACAGCUAGAAUAGGGAAUGACUUUAGUGUGACGGUACCAUACCAGAAAGGGACGGCUAAAUACGUGCCAGCAGCCGCGGUAAUACGUAUGUCCCGAGCGUUAUCCGGAUUUAUUGGGCGUAAAGCGAGCGCAGACGGUUGAUUAAGUCUGAUGUGAAAGCCCGGAGCUCAACUCCGGAAAGGCAUUGGAAACUGGUCAACUUGAGUGCAGUAGAGGUAAGUGGAACUCCAUGUGUAGCGGUGGAAUGCGUAGAUAUAUGGAAGAACACCAGCGGCGAAGGCGGCUUACUGGACUGUAACUGACGUUGAGGCUCGAAAGUGUGGGUAGCAAACAGGAUUAGAUACCCUGGUAGUCCACACCGUAACGAUGAACACUAGGUGUUAGGAGGUUUCCGCCUCUUAGUGCCGAAGCUAACGCAUUAAGUGUUCCGCCUGGGGAGUACGACCGCAAGGUUGAAACUCAAGGAAUUGACGGGGACCCGCACAAGCGGUGGAGCAUGUGGUUUAAUUCGAAGCAACGCGAGAACCUUACC